GGGCUUGCAGCGUUGCGUGCAAACUCAUAAUCCCUUGGUCGUCGGUUCGAGUCCGACCGGGCCCACCA
rnacentral:tRNA from 1 species